CUUUCAUUAAGUUAGAGAGGUUUUAACUGUCUUGUCUCCUGCCUCUCUGCAGUCAUGAUUAUCCUGAAGUACAGCGUCAUCCUGACAUUGGUGGUCGUUUCCGGCCUGAAUUCUCUAGUGCAUAUAGGUGACGAAGCAAAGAGAGAUUGGGUGCCGGAAAAAUAUGGAUAUUCUUAUAAUACCGGAAGGUAUCGAAAUGAAACCAGAAAAUAUUGGAUGAGUGGAUACUAUGUAAAAAGCACCACUCACUGCACUCUUACAAAUGAUUCUGUGGGCAACAUAACUGUGGAAAUUGGGUAUUCAAGGCAGAGCUCUAGUUAUUGUGGGACGUAUAGCUGUGUAGAGAAUGACGACAAAACCGCAGGAGCAAUGUAUUUGUAGUAAGUAUCUCCACAAAUAUUCUGUACAGGUUAACUGUGAAUUGAAAAUCGAUAUAUUAAUUUCAGUUGCGCAAUGCCUGUAACUUUCGCGGAGUGUGAUAACGAUGGAGUAAACACGCGAGUAGACUAUCCUGAAUGUUGCUGGCAAUGCGUCGCAUUUAAAAAGUGUGACUGAGCAGAUUGUCGGAUUGUCAGAUUUUAAAUCCGUGCCAUGAAUAUUAUAUAUUUCAAUUAUACAUUUAUGCAAUUGAAUACACCAAAGAAAACAUAGCAUCCAAUAAUGCGGUGAUUUUCCCUGUUCCAAGCUCCAAUAUCCACACUAAAGUAACACACGCCUCCUGCUUUCAUGCAACAUUUUGAAUUUUGAAUUCAAACGGAAAACAGUGUACCAAGAGAGCAUGCACUUUGUUCACUUUGGUCAUACUGGGCACAGAGCGAAAUAUAUGGCACUUUCUGUCGCAAGAACAUUUUGCGCAUCUGAAUUGCAAGGACGUAUUUUUAAGAAAAGAGCAAACGAAGACACCAACAGCUGUUCUUCCUUAGUUGUUUCUCUUUUUUUAUCAAUUAUUUACCACAGAAAAUGUUGCCUUUAAAAAUACUGAAAACAAGUAAAG
rnacentral:lncRNA from 1 species